UACGUAGGGUGCAAGCGUUGUCCGGAAUUAUUGGGCGUAAAGAGCUCGUAGGCGGUUUGUCGCGUCUGCUGUGAAAUCUGGGGGCUCAACCCCCCAGCCUGCAGUGGGGUACGGGCAGACUAGAGUGCGGUAGGGGGAGAUUGGAAUUCCUGGUGUAGCGGUGGAAUGCGCCAGAUAUCAGGAGGAACACCGAUGGCGAAGGCAGAUCUCUGGGCCGUAACUGACGCCUGAGGAGCGAAAGCAUGGGGAGCGAACAGG
rnacentral:rRNA from 1 species